GACGUGUCGCUCGUUCCGGGCGGAUGUGUUUUGUGUGUGCUGCGCGUUUCCCGGUGUGUGCUCUCGUGUGUACGCGGUGGUUCUGUACGUUUUCUACGCCAUUUCGACGGUGUUGUUUGCAAUGGUGCACGCGGACGAGUUGCCCUAGGUUUGGGCACUGCUCGGUACAGCGAAAAGUGAGUGUUCCGGCAAGGUUAAGAGAAGGGAAAAUGAGAAAGUGAAAAAAGAGAGAGUGAAAGACAGAAAAAAAACAAAUACUACUAUCAUAAUAAUAUUCAUGGCAGAUUGUGAGUGUGGUACUGAAUAACAGGGCGAAAAAAGUUCGUGUAAAAGUGAAAGAAGAAAUAAUUUCGGAGCCGAUAAAAAAUCUGUCAGCCCGCACAGACAAGCAAGUGCAAAGCGUUUUUCGCGUUUUAUUCCCUUGCCAUCGCUUCGAAUGCAACUAGAACGUUUGAAUAAAAACGAUCAUCGUUAAGAAGAUAAAA